CACACACUACAAAAUUUUAACCUUCAGUUUGUUCUUAUGAAACAAAUAAAGUCCCGGCAAAGACGAGGGAGGGGGAGCCGCAAGAACAUUCGAGCUUCUUCUUGAAAACUUUUUGCGCCUCCAUAACAUAACAGCACCCGAAGAGCCGAAGCCCCCCGGCCGUCGAACUCAUAGAAACCGAAGUAAACCCUCCCGCCACCAAGACGAGUGGAGGAAUCCCUCCGGUUGAUAGUGAUGGCCGCAAAAGAUGCAGAGGAAGUCUUGGACGUGCAGUCGGUCGUUGAAGCUGUAGUUGCAAAUGAAGACGCUGCUGACGUUCCUAGCUACGAAGUAGAAAGCCUCUGCAUGCGUUGCGGUGAAAACGGGAUAACAAGAUUUUUGUUAACUUUAAUUCCGCACUUCAGAAAGAUUUUGUUGUCAGCCUUUGAAUGUCCACAUUGUGGUGAGAGGAACAAUGAAGUUCAGUUUGCUGGUGAGAUCCAGCCACGAGGCUGUUGCUACUGUUUGGAGGUUCAUGCAAGCGACCAGAAGAUGCUCAAUCGACAAGUGGUUAAAUCUGAAUCUGCCAUUAUUAAGAUCCCAGAAUUGGAUUUUGAGAUUCCAGCAGAGGCUCAACGUGGAACUCUAUCAACUGUGGAAGGUAUAUUGGUACGAGCUGUAGACGGAUUGGAAGCCCUUCAAGAGGAACGUAGGAAGGUGGAUCCUCAGACUGCUGAAGCAAUAGACCAUUUUCUUCUGAAACUGAAAGCUUGUGCUAAGGGAGAUUCAUCUUUCUCCUUCAUCUUGGAUGAUCCAGCUGGAAACAGCUUCAUCGAGAACCCAUUUGCACCAUCCAAAGAUCCAUCAUUAAGUAUCAAGUUUUAUGAGCGGACUCCAGAACAACAAGCAUCGUUGGGAUAUUAUGUUGAACCAUCACAACCAGCAGAAGCUCAGGGUGGAGCAUCAACAGGUGGAGUUGAUGCUUCUAAUCAAGUUAGAGGACAGGCACAUGGAUCUGUAGGAGCACAGGCUGGCCAUCGGGCAAUAGCUCAAAGUAACAGUGCAGAGAUUGCUGAGGCCUUGUUUCGUUACACUGCACCAGAAGAAGUGAUGACAUUCCCAUCAACAUGUGGAGCUUGUGCAGUUAGGUGUGAGACUCGAAUGUUCGUAACCAAAAUUCCAUACUUCCAAGAAGUGAUUGUCAUGGCAACUACCUGUGAUGCUUGUGGUUACCGUAGUUCUGAGCUGAAGCCUGGUGGGCGAAUCCCUGAAAAAGGAAAGAUAAUUAGUCUAUGUGUGAAGAAUGUUAGAGAUCUCAGUCGAGAUGUAAUAAAGUCAGAUACUGCAAGUGUAAAAGUUCCAGAUCUUGAGUUGGAGCUGACUAGUGGUACUCUUGGGGGAAUUGUUACAACUGUUGAAGGCUUAAUCACAAAGAUAAGUGAAAGUCUUGAGAGAGUACACGGUUUUACUUUUGGAGACAGUCUUGAUGAAAAUAAAAGAAACAAGUGGUUGGACUUCAAAACAAGACUAACCAAGAAGAAUUGAAGGACUCUUGGGAAUUACACCCGGAACGGGAACUGGUUUAUUCAUAGAGGUAAAGAAGCUGACCUGUUUUGUUCUAGUCCAGGGUCUUUGGGUCUUGACACAACACGUCUCAAUCAAGUCGGGGUUUGUUCAUUCUUUGUUAUAGCAGGAAAAUACUAAAAAUUAUUAUUAUUGAUCUUCAAUUGAUGUUUAUGGAGGUUCAAGGUAACCUGGGGAGAAUGUUCGUUGCUGGAAUCCUUAUUCUUUGAAAGGAUUCUUGAGUAAAUCCUUGUCCCUUUGUUUAGUGAACCCCUUUUUCCUUGGGUGACACUCGACCUUUGCCUUGUUAUGGAGGGUGAAAAUUUCAUAUAUGGUUAACUUUUUGGUCUGGUAGAUUCUCCAUGGAAGAGAAAUAACACCUUGGAUAGGAGUUUGAGGCUACUCGACUUUUUGGGCUUUUGUGUUGCAUUCUUUGCAAAGGCGGUGGAGGAUCUUGAUGAUAUGCUUUGGGCUUGUGACUUGUUUGUGCAGUUUGGAGGCGGUUUUUUUGAAGAGUUUGGUUUCGUUUGGCUAGUCUUAGAGGUGCUUGUGAGAUGACUGAGCUCUUGAGUUUGGAGCAGCCUUGGACUCUAAUCCUUGAUGAUGCCUUAGCAAAUUCGUUUAUUGCACCAGUGACCGAUGAUAUGAAAGAUGACCAUCAGUUAACAUGUAA